GUCAGAUAGUCACAAUAUAGAGUGUUACUUCCGUUGACAAGUAAAUCAUUGUCAGUGUGAAACGAGUAUUGCCCGUAACAGUAUAUUUAGUCGUAGUUUUAAUCAUAAUUCUCGUUUUUACAAACAUUUUUCUAAUGUUUCUUGACGAUAUUUAAGAUGCAACCAAGAAAAAUUCGUUGGAUUAUUCAAAUUGAAGAAAAUCCAUGGCAAGGUGAGAGCGUUGAGGAGCAAAUUUCUUGCAUUAAAGAUGAGCGGGAAGAUGUACAAAAGAAAACGUUUGCAAAAUGGAUAAAUUCGCAAUUACUUAAGAAUCAUCACGAGCCGAUUUCUGAUUUGUUCGUUGACUUACGAGAUGGCAAUCGGUUAUUGUCUCUCUUAGAAGUUCUCACGUCUAAAGUCUAUAAAAGAGAACGCGGUCGAAUGAGAGUUCAUCAUUUGAAUAAUGUUAAUAAAGCUUUGCAAAUUCUUGAACAAAAUAAUGUAAAACUCGUAAAUAUUAGCAGUAACGAUAUAGUUGAUGGGAAUCCUAAGCUAACACUUGGAUUAGUAUGGAGUAUUAUUCUACACUGGCAGGUACAUUACCAUCUGAAAGAUUUAAUGACAGAACUACAACAAACGAAUUUAGAGAAAACUCUUUUAGCAUGGUGUCGUCAAAAUUCACAGAAUUAUUCUGGAGUUGAUAUUAAAAACUUUACUACAUCUUGGUCAGAUGGUUUAGCAUUCAAUGCUAUUCUUCAUAAAUGGAAACCGCAUUUAUUUGAUUUUAAUAACAUAGCGCGUAAACAUCCCAAUGCUAGACUAGAUCAUGCAUUUCGUAUUGCUCAGGAACAAUUGGGUAUUGAACGUUUGUUGGAUCCAGAAGAUGUGAAUACAUCGGUGCCGGAUAAAAAAUCAAUAAUGAUGUACGUUAUGUGUCUUUUUCAAUCAUUACCUCAUUCUGGAGAUGAUAUAGGCGAAUUAGAUCUAUCAGUAGCAAGUGAUAGUAGCCCGGUUACUACUCCGGGAGCAGAGAAUACAUUAUCUUUUACAAAUUUUGGAACACCAACAUCACGACCGAUGAGUCUUGCAACAAACGUAUCGGUAGAACUUGGUGGUUAUCAAGUGGCUCUCGAGGAAGUUUUGACUUGGCUUUUGGAGGCAGAAGAUAAAUUAAAUCAUGCUCCAGAUCCUGGAUCUACUUUAGAAGUGUUAAAGCAACAAUUUCACGAACACGAAACAUUUUUGGUAGAAUUAUCCGGCCAUCAAGAUGGUGUUGGUGCUGUAUUGGAAGAAGGUGCGAGAUUAUUAGCGGAAGGCGGUUUACACAAGGAUGAAGAACACGAAGUUCGUGUUCAAAUGUCAUUAUUAAAUUCUCGAUGGGAAGGACUUCGAAUGCGUGCAAUGGAAAGACAAACUAAAAUUCAUGAAGUUCUUAUGCAAAUGCAACAAGGUCAGUUAGAUGCAUUACGGCAAUGGUUAACAAGGACUGAAGAUAGAAUUUCGCGAAUGGCAGCUAUUGAAUUAAAUCAAUCUGCCUUAGAUGAACAACUGAAACAAUUGAAUGAACUAGAGCAAGAUAUUGAAGCACAGCAGGGAGUUGUUGAUGGUAUGAGAAAUAUGGUAGUUGUUGUGGAUGAAGAAAAUUCUGAAGCAGUUUAUGCGCAAAUGGAAGAUCAAUUAUCUGCUCUCGGAGAGCGAUGGACUCACAUUUGUCAAUGGAAAGAAGAAAGGAGGCAACGUUUGCAGGCUCUUUCUUCACUUUGGCAAAAUGUUAAUGAUGACUAUAAAAGAUUAAUGUCAUGGUUGAAUGAAACUGAAAUUACUUUAAAACAAAUGGAAGCAAAUCCUGCUUCUGAAAUUGGUGAAGUGCUUGAAAGAAUUAAAAAAUUACAAAUAUUAAAAAUGGAUAUGGAUGAAAAUCAAAGAAAGUUAAUGUCCUUACAAGAAUCAAUUCAAGAAUUGGAAGGACAAAAUACUUCACCAGAAUGUAUUAAUAUAUUAGAAAAAAUCGAAAAUUUGCAAGAUCGAUGGGAAGCAGUGGGACAAAUAAUGGAAGUGCAAACACAAAGGAUAACAAAUUCGGGAUUUGAAUUCGAUCUGAAGACUGAGAGGGAAACAACUGUAGUUACAGGCAAUGAAUGGAUGUCUGAAACAGUAACAAGUAUCGCUUAUAAAGAAGAAAUUACUGCAACUUCUACACCUCAUAGUGAUUCAAAGAAACGUCGCGUAGAUAGUACAAGUAGACAUGAAUUUGAGUCGGCAUUACAUAAUCUGUAUAAAUGGCUCGAUUAUGUUGAUUUAGAAAUUGGACGAUCGGAAGGAGUAUUUGACGAAUUAAGCAUCGAAGAAAAGAAAGUUGUUUAUAAUGAUACAAUUGCUGAUAUAGAAGCACAUAAAAUUGAUUAUGACAAAGUUUUAGAAUUGGGGAAGCAGCUUCUCGAAGAAUUAAAAAAUGCUAAUGAAUCGAUUGAAACAGAUGAAACAAAAAUUAAAGAUAUACAGAAUUGUUGGAUGGCAACUAAUAGUCGGCUUGAAGAAAUAAGAAAUCGUAUAGAAUAUCUAGAAGAAGUAAAAAAAUUUCGAACAGAACUGGCUAGUUUGAAUUUAAUGUUAGAUAGCUAUUCUAAAUGGUUUGAUUCAAAUAAAGGAAACAAUCAAGUGGAACCAUUUAGAGUGAAAUUGAAAUCAAUGAAAUCUCAUGAAGAGCGCAUAAAAAAAUUGUUAGAAAAAGCCAAAGAAUUAUCAGAAAAUCAAACUGGUAUUAAUGAAACUAUCAAUUUAAAUGAAGAUAUACAAAUGUUUGUUUGUAAUUGGGAAAAAUUAUAUAAAACAUUAUCUGAAAAAUUAACUGAAUUAAAUGAUGCUGUUGAUAAAACUCCGCCGAAGAAAUAUACAGAUGCAGUUACUAAUCUCACUUCUUUUAUUAAUAAUGUGGAAAGUAUGUUAUUAUCAGAACAUAUAGUAAUGUCAGAUGAUAAGACAAUGACAGAACAAUUACGAAAAUUCAGCGAUUUGCAAAAUUCUUUGAGAGAACAUCAAGAAGCUUAUAAUUAUGUGAAUAGUGUUGGACAUGAAUUAAUAAUGAAGACCAAUGGAGAGUCUCAGGGUCAAAGACUUAAAGAUGCAUUACAAGAUCUUAUUACUAAAUGGAGUGAUAUACCCAUAAUAUUAGAAGAACGUCAACAAAAUUUGCAAAAAGAUAUUCAAUCUUUAAAAAUAUUCAAUAAUGAGCUUUCAGAGCUUGAAAAUUGGCUUGAAAAAUCAAACCAAUAUUUAGAAGAAUUAUCAAAAGAUAAUGUAUCAAAUAAUAUUGAAACUAUGGAAUUUAGAUUAAAACAGAUUCAAUCUUUUUGUGAAGAUAUAAAUGAAAUGAAACCAAAAAUAGAAAAACUCCAAAUUUCUACAAAUAAAUUACUUGAAAAUUCUGAACCAAAAUUUGCAAAUGUGUUAAAUAAUAAGUUAGAAGUUGUGUCGCAUAAAUGGAAUGCUAUCGUUGAUGGUGCUAAAAGUUUAAAUGAUAAGUAUGAGGAUACAUUGAAAAAAAAUGAUGAAAUAAUAAAUGGAAUAGAAGAUUUUACAAAGUGGUUAUCGAGUUUAGAAAAAGAAAUACCAAUUGAAACCAAAAUAACGUCUUCUGUUGAACUGUUUCAAGUUCGUGGUCGAUAUCAGUCAUUAAAAGAAAAGAUAGAUAAGCGAGUAGAAGAAUUUAGAAAUCUCAAUGAAAUGGGCAAUGAUAAAUUAUUAAGUUCUGAAGGAUCUUCAGUGCAAGAACUUGGUAGACGAUUUACAUUUUUAAAUGCUCGUUGGACCGAUGUUACAGAUCGAAUUUAUGAACGAUAUAGACAUUUACAAAAUGCUAGCCAUGAAUAUGGUGAAUUCCGUGCUUUAGUUGCACAAGAAAGUGAUUGGUUGGAUAAAUUAGAUAAAAGAUUAAGAAGAUCAACAGAAAGAGCUGCAGAUGCUGAAGAAAUAUCAGAAGAACUUGAUGAUUUAGAAAAUUAUAUACGAAAUCAUCCAGAAUUAAGACUUGAAAAGAUACAAGAAAUAGGUAAACAAUUGAUUGAAAGUAACAUCAUGACACAGUCCAUUCAAACAGAUGUAGAGAAUCUAACAAGUCGUUGGGAAAGCUUAAAUAAUCAGGCAGGGCAGCGAGCAAAGCUGCUGGAAGGAUCUGUGAAGCAAGCACAACAAUCAGAAGGACGUAUUCUUGCUCUUCAGCAUUCUUUAACGCAAAUAGAUUCUGUACUAACAGCACGUCUUGAUUGUGACCUUACAGCUGAUGAUUUGCCUCAUGAUUAUCAGAAAUUAAUGGAAGAAAUGGAACAUCAACGAUCUACACUUCAAGAAAUGGCAUUACAAAUUGAAUCCUACAAGGCUUCUGGAAAACAAGAAGCAGCACUCAGAUUACAAGAACAAUUAACUCUCAUUGAACAGAAAUUCUCUGAAGUUCAACAGAAAUUUCAACGUUUUCGAUGUCCAACCAAUUUAGAACCAAGAUUAUCCAGAGCUUUACGGGAACUUAGAGGAAUAGAAGAAGCAACUUGUUUAUUAGAACUGUCUUCAGAAGAUCCAGAAGCUAUUGAAGGUCAACUUAAACAUUGUCUGCGUUUUUAUCAAACAUUAAGUGAAAUUAAAAGUGAGAUAGAAAAUAUUAUAAUAACUGGUAGAAAAUUAGUUGAAGAAAAAAGUGUCACUGAACCAGAAAAAUUUUCGCGACGAAUUGAUAUGUUAAAAGAAUUAUAUAAUAAGUUGGGUUUACAUAUAACUGAAUCAAAAGCAUGUUUGGAAACAGCACUGGAUUUAUCACGCGAUAUGUAUAAAAAUAUGUCUUAUAUUAAUAUGUCUAUAGAUAGUAUUAAUAAAGAAUUGGAUAAUCAAAAAAAUAUGCCUGAUCUUCCAGUUAAUGCGAUAUAUGUACGAGAAACCUUAACAGAAGUAAUACCACGAUUAAACGUUAUAAAAGAUAAAUUGUUAAAUUCACAGGAUGAAUUUUCUAAACUUUGCGAUCCUAUGUAUUUAGAACAACUUAAAGAAAAAUUAUCAGAUGUUGUUAUUAGAUUAGCAAAUACUGAAAAGAGAUUAAGAUUAUGUAAUGCUUCAGAGGAAGAGCCUAAUGUUGAUGAAAUAAAAGCAUGGCUUUUACAAGUUGAGGAAAAACUAAAUAAAUUAGAUAGUGUUCCGGUUGAUCAAUUGACGGAAAAUCAUUUUGAACAAUGCAAAGCUGUUCAAAGCGAAAUGAUUGAAGCAAAACCAAAAGUCAACCAACUACAACGUUAUACUUAUUACCCGAAAGUUUCAGAUGUUUGUAAGAAAUGGGAGGAUAUAUCUAAUAGAAUUCAAGAAUGGAUCCACAAAAUCACAGACAGUUUAUUAAUAAAAAGUAAAAUGGGAGAAACAAAGGGGAGAGACAAUUAUGGACGUACUAAAUUGUCUAGACAAGAUCAAACUUCAAUGCAACUAGCUAAAAAAGAAAAUAAAUUGAUAGAUGAGAAUGAGGAAAUAUAUGGCAUAGGAUAUCUUAAUCCCGCAUUUGAUGAAAGUCAAUGUAAUAUUAUUUGUACACCUGAAAGUUCACCAGUUGAUAUUGUUCAUCGAAGCCGAAAAUCUUCCGCAAAAUCUGAGAAAGUAAAAGCUAAAAUUGUAGAUGUUAGUAGAACUGUUAGACGAAAAUUAGACAUGAGCUCUAUACCUGAUGUUGUUCAGACUUCUCAACCACAAGUUGUUCAUAUUGACGACGAUCUAUCUUCUUUAUCUCCUGAUACAGAUGUAUACAUGGCCGACGAAGAAUUUUUUUUGUCCAAAAAUAGCACAUUAUUUUCUCAAGUUUCUUCCAAUACAUUGACUACGACAGAAUCCAAACCAUUAAACUAUAACACACAGAUGAAUCCUUUUCGUAUUGUAGAAGUGAAAGAAAUGGAAAUAAUAAAAUCAGUUGCAUCUCCUGAAAAUCACGUAAUAUUACCAAGUGCAAAUGUCAGUGCAGGAUUAAAGCCACAAGUUGUUGAAAGAGUAGAAAUUAUUGAAGAUACAGAAACUGAACCAGAAUCAGUAGAUACAGAUACAGAAGAUAAAGAAAGUAGGAUAAAAGUUUGUAAAAAUGCAAUUAGUAAUGGGAAUCAAACUGUCAAUAACAAAAGAGAACUUAUUCCUAUAUUGAAGAAGAAAAAAAUAAUAGAUUCAUAUUCUGCGAAAAAUGUUAAAAAAUUAACUCUGAAAUUAGAUGUUGAGGAUACUUCAACUGAUAAUCAAAUUUCAAAUUAUAAAUCACAAUUUUCAUGUAAAGUAAACAAAUUUGAAAAAAACUCCGCGUGGAAAGAUAAAGAUAGCAUAGCUGAAUAUCUUAUACUUGAAGAUAAUGAAAUAAAUACAAAAUUAAGUUCACGAUGUUCUGCUGAUCUUGUUCUCACAUCAGGAAUUAAUUCUACAAAAAGCAAAAAAGAGCUCAGUAAUGUUAAAGAAUUAACAUUUGAAAAAGAUCUUUCAAAAUUGCAUAGUAAUGAAAAUCAUAAUAAUGAUUAUGAAAGAAAUAUAAAAUUGAUGUUAUUUAGACGUGCUAGAAGUAUUUCAAAAGAUGAUACACUAGAGGAUUGUGAAAGUUUUUACGGAAGCGAUAAAGAAACAGAUGAUGUUUUAAUUUUUUCUGAUGAUACAGAAAUUGAUGUUGGAAGUUCCAGUUCAGAAGGAGAAGAUUCAAAUUCAAAGGAGCAUAUUGAGCACCUCUUGGGCAAGAUACAGAAUGAAAAAUUAUCCCAAGAAAUACAAUAUAAAAUAGAGACGAAGAUUUCUAGUGAUAAGAGGCCUUUUAAAAUUUCAACUAGUUUAUCCAGAACAGGCUUAGAAAAAAGUAUUUUGGAAUUUGAACAAGCUGCACAACGAAUGUUACAUAGAAUGGAUGUCAUGUUGAUGAGCAUCAGUGGAAUCAGUAAUGAAAAAGAUCCAACUAAACGACUAGAAGUACUAAAAGGAGAAGUUAGUACUCUUGCUCCAGAUGCAGCAGCUUUGAUCAGUAAAGGUGAUGGUCUAGUUAUGACAGUACAUAUAUCUGAUCCUGUUAGAGCUGAGAAGAUAAAAAAUGAACAUCAAGAUAAAUUAAGAAGCAAAUGGCAUCAAGUUAUGUCCGAAAUAGAAACAAGGCGCACACAAGCACAAAGAGGAGAAGAAAUGUUAAGACAAUAUAAUGCCAUAAUUGCCGAAUUUGAAGAUUGGUUUCGAGAUGUACCAUUAAAACUUGAACAAGUAAAUAAUUAUGAGGGGCAAUUAGAAUCUUUUACUGUAGAAUUUGAUGCUAAACAAGAACAGAUCAAAAAAUUAAAUGAAUUAGCUAUUGAAUUAAAAAAAUUAAAUAUUGGAUAUGCUGAAACUAUAAGAUAUAGCAUUAACAAUAGAUGGCAAGAAGUUAGUUCACAAUUUAAAAGAUUUAGUGGUAGUAAGGAUAAGGACAAACAUGUGACAGACAAAAAAGUUGAAGUGGAUGUUGGAGGAGUUGAUAUGCAAGAAUUUACUGCCAGAGUUAAUAAGAUUAGAGAAGCUGUUGUAACUGUGACGAGAUCUUUAAAUUCCGUGCCAUUGAAUGGUGAUGAUUAUGAAAUUUUUUCAAAUCAAGAAGAAUGUUUAAAAAAAAUUAAUAAUGCAUUAAAUAUUUUAAAACCAAGCAUUGAAGAAAUCAACACUAUUUUUGAAAAUGUUGCUUCGCAGUUAAGAAGAGAGCAAGGUGAACAAAUUAGACGUUUGAGUGAUAAAUUACGAGAUGAAUGGAUAAAUGUUAAUCAGAGUUAUGUAGAAAGAUAUAAUCGUUGGAAUAAAUGUUAUGAAAAAUGGAAAGAACUUUGCAAUACAUGUCGGUCUUUUUCCGAUUGGUUAGAUAAAACGGAAGAUUCAUUAAAAAAAUUAAAUUCUCUUGGUCAAUCUAAAAUAUCAAGAACAAAAAUAUUUGAAUUGGAACAAGAGAUUUCUAGGAUGCAAAGAAUUAUGAAUAAUAUUAACGUUUCAAGUGCUAGUAUUUUAACUCGUGCUAAAGCUGAAGAUAUGAUGGAAUUAAGAGAAAUGAUUGAAACCAUAAAACGACGUUGGCAAAAUAUUAUAACGGACUUAAAUACACGAAAAGAAAAGAAUUUUGCUAUGGAAAAGAAAGUGAACAAUGAAGGCAGAAUUUUAGAAAGUGCUUAUAAUAUAUUAGAACAAAUCAAUUCUUUGUUGGUGUCAGCAGCAAAUCCUUCAGAUGAGACUUCUUUAUCAAUAAGAUUAUCAUUAAUUAAGGCUAGACAAGAAGAACUUUCUUCUCGCAAAAGAUCAUUACAGAAUUUAAUAAUAAAUCAAAAUGAUAUUUCUUUGGGAGAAGAUGAAUGUAAUAAAUUACUUUCAGAUAUGGAUAAGGCUAAUAUAAACCUUUCCAAUCAUCGUGACUAUGUUGAAAAUAAACUUAUAUCUCUUAAAAAAUAUAUUUGUACUUUGGAUACUAUUAUGGCUUGGGUCAUGGAAACUAGAGCGAGAAUAAAUAUAUCCCGAGAAUUACCCCAACAAGAACGAGUAGAAAUUAUUAACAAUAUUAUGAUCAAAGUUGAAGAUCGAGAAAUGGAAGUAAAGGAUGUAUUAGAAAAUUAUACUAAUUUAGAGAAAGAAUGCGAGUCUGCAAAACAACCUAUUUCUGUAGAAUUACAAGAAAAGCUCAAAAAAUUACGAGAAGAUUGGCAAUUUGUGAAAAACAAUGAAGAAUUAUCAAGUCAUGAUGUCAAAACGGCGAUUGCUAUUGCAACGGCGUCAUCAGGGCUCGAAGUGGAAAAGACUGCAGGAGCUGGAUCGGGGGCAUCGGGUGCAACUGCGGGGGGCCCUCGGGGGUUGACACCUUCCCCUGCCCCCUCAACACCCUCGACCCCCGUCACCACCACUAGUCCUUCGGUCUGCACAUCCUCGCCUUCGUCCUCGCCUUCACCCUCCUCCUCACCCUCUGCUCUUGUAGCAGGCUUUGACAAAUCGGUGCUACAGAUACGCGAUUGGCUAGCUGUGGAAGAAGAGAUGUUACGGAAACAAGCUGUGGUCGUCGGCGAUGUCGGCGAAAUUAUGGAGGCGCUUGAUAAACAAAUGGAUGUUCUACGAGAGCUGGGGCAGAAAAAGCCGCAGUUGGACGAGCUGGUGCACACGGCGGAAGCGCUUCGCGCGGACACGAAUAGACAGCAAGUGCACGGUAAAGGAGGCGAGAAGAUCCAACAACAACCGCCCGGUUCUCCGUAUUCCUCGCACGGCUCUCCGCUGAGAACACCGAUGAGUUCCGGUCACGGAACACCCCAGGACUCGCCCCAUGUGGCCAGACAUCGAAGGGACUCGGAACACUCGGCCGGCGUUGGAUCGAGGCGAGGCUCCUCGGAUGUCGUCUCGCCUCUGCCCGACGCUCCUCCCUCAGGAUCGCCGGACAACCGACAGCCUCGUCGACGAUCGGACUACAGCCCCCAUCAGGUUACGAAGCUGAGGGAGCACUGGGACGAGAUGAACUCGAAAAUGAUGCAGAGGAAGACGGAGUUGGACGCGAUGCUCGGGGACAGCCAGCGAUACGAGGCGAAAAGGAACGAGGUGGAGGUCUGGUUGGCGCGAAUGGAAACUCGGCUGGAGAAAAUGCGGGCCGUCGGCCACACCGCCGAUGUUCUCGAGGCCCAACUCCGAGAACAAAAGUCGUUCCACGCCGAGCUCCACCAGUACAAGCAUCAGAUCGAGCAGUUCAAUCAGCUCACGCAGAAGCUGAUCGCCGUUUAUCAGGAGGACGACACGACCCGCGUGAAAAAGAUGACCGAGACCAUCAAUCAGAGAUACAACAACCUCAACACCAGCAUCAUCAAUCGAGGAAAACUGCUUCACUCCGCGAUGAACUCCCUCCACAACUUCGACCGGUCCCUGGACAAGUUCUUGGCUUGGUUGAGCGAAGCUGAGUCCUCGAUGGAAGGAUUGGAAGCGGAGGCCGAUCGGCUGGGCGGGCGACGAGACCAGGGUGCGCUCAGACGACCGCAACAUCAGCUUAAGGUACGUAAGGCGGAGCGAUUCCCUUUUUACUCAUCUCGUCUAUCGGACCUACAAUCGGAAAUCGAGACGCACCGAGACGUGUACACGUCGUUGAACGGCACAGGCAGGAAGUUGUUGAGCUCUUUGGCGAGCCAAGAUGACGCGGUUAUGCUGCAACGACGACUGGACGAGAUGAACCAGCGAUGGCAUCACUUGAAAGCGAAAAGCAUGGCAAUAAGAAACCGGUUGGAAAGCAAUACGGAACACUGGAACGCUCUUCUGUUGUCUUUGCGCGAGCUUAUCGAAUGGGUGAUAAGAAAAGACACCGAGCUCACCGGUUUGGGCCCUGUUUGCGGGGAUGUAGCCGCCUUACAAAAACAAGAGGACGAUCAUCGCGGGUUCAGGAGGCAGCUCGAGGACAAACGACCGAUCGUCGAGAACAAUUUGCUGAGCGGACGGCAGUACAUCGCCAACGAGCCGCCCCUCUCUGACACGUCGGAUUCCGAAGCCGGAAGAGAAUUGGAUGGCGAUUCGAGGGGCUACAGAAGCGCGGAGGAGCAGGCACGCGAAUUGACGCGCAGCAUUCGCCGGGAAGUGAACAAACUUUCAGAGCAGUGGAACGCCCUAAUCGAACGUAGCGAUGCGUGGAAGCGGAAACUCGACGACACCGCUAACCAAUUUCGUUAAAUGGAGAGAUUUUCCGAAGAGGAGAAUUUUUCACUUCGGAAAGAAUUAGGAUUGCGAAAUAUUCAAGGGGGGUAACGAUAAUUAUUCCAAUGGAUACAAUUUUUUCCUUGCUAUUUUCCUUUUGAAAAGGAAAACUUGUUCGACGCGUUAAAGAAGGAAUUUAUAGCCGGAUGAAAUAACUUGGAAAAAGAGAAUCCGUUCACCGAAAAUCAAUGAACAAUUCAUCCGGACAAUUGAUUUCAAUGCUCGACAAAUCAUCUCGUGAAAUUCCUCUCCUCGAGGAUAUAAUAGCGCUAAACGAAUCGCUGUCGGUGGAACCGCCGUUCCUCGAGAGCCACCGAGAAGACUCAAACGCAUUAUUUCCACCGUGGUGGACCGUCAAAGGGGGCGAACUCGCGUUGAAAGGUCGAGCCGGCCGCUUAACCCGGAACUUAACGAGUUCGACGAAGAAGGUAAUAACUUCUUUUCAACGACGCUUAAAAUAACAUCGGGGGGAAUUCGUCUUAAUAUAAUUCGAGCUUUGCCCCACUCCCUUCUCCCUUUCGAAAUUCGAAUAACCGAUCCUUUGUCCCAAUUCGAAACCCGACCCGGCCACCAACACUUGACGACCACGUUUUCUUCGUCCAAGUUAACGCGAUAUCCCGCUCGCCGAUUGCUCCUUUCUCGCCCCUAAUUAAAACGAAAAUAAUGAUUUCACGAUGAAAAACGGGGCUCGUGGCGCGUUUACGCGCCAAACGUUUUAUAAUUAAAACGGGGAACGUUUCCCUUCGUUCGCGAUACAGGGCGCAUUCGACGAUAAAGGCUUGCUUCGAGGAUAUUUAAUUAAAGGACUGGCAUGAUUAAACGAGUGGAAAUCUCGUUCGUACGAGGAACGUUCGAAACUAGAGGAUGCUUGCGUUGAUUGUGCGCGUGAUUCGUGGGACGCUGCGAGAAAUUGCUUGCGCAUUUUCAUAAAAAUUUGAUAGUUUUCGCACAUAGAAUGAUUCAUUCAUGCGAAAUAUGGAAUUAGAUUCUGUCCGUUUCGAUGUUAAAAGUAUUUCGUUUGAGGCCAGAUUUCAAAGAAGUUUUCCGAAAGAUAUUGCAUAGAAAAUAUCGACUUGGCUUAAUUAAAAAUGCAGCUAUACAAAAAAAAGUGGCUGUGAAAAGAAAGAGUUUUUAAUAUAAUCGUCGGACGCGUUUCGAAACGAUCUCUUUGAAAUGGGAAAGAAAAAAGAUGCCGACAAAGAAACAUUGGAACGUUAUCGUAUCGAUAAGUUUGAUCAACGAUUUCGAAAUCGACACCACGUGCUUAUUAUCCCGAAAUAAUACUUUUACAAUCGUGGGAUCGAUAUUGAAAAGCAAAUCGACCUCGAAAUCGCGAAAAAUUGACGGGACGAAUCGAGCGAGAAAUCUCGGUUAAAACAAAAGAGCGAACAAUUAAAGGAAUGCGAACGAUCUCUUCUACGAUCUCUUCGAUACGGUAUAAACGAAGAAUGAUCAAAGUUUCCGCGCAAUCAGCAAGUUCCUGCCGCGAAUGCAUAAUUCAUGAGCGAAACACAAUUUAACUUUUAAAUUCCACGUGCUCUGCCCUGGCGCGCUUUAAUUAUCGGCUAUCCGGUAAUUACAAGCGACACCUUCGCUUCUUCCUCUCGGUCAGAUACCGUAAUAUUAAUUCGAUUCAUCGCCACCACCCCUAUGAGUAACUGGAGGAUCGUGCAAUUUUGUCGAACUGGAUUUUAUCCUUCGUCCUUCGUCCUUGUGCGCGAUCACGCGACCGGGUUUAAGCUUAAUCUGAUGGAAGAUCGAGGUCAAGUCUGGCAAGUCUUCUGGACGCACGCGUGUACAUGAAUGUUGGAGAGCAUGGCGUGGAAAGGGAUAUAAAAGUUUUCGAAUGAGUGACCCACCCGCGUCGUUAUUGGAUUUAUAAUAAAAUGACUUACAUGUAUACCUUUUCGUAUAUAUAAGAAAUAAUCGAUAGAUUUUAUUCUUACGAUUUGUAGUACGUGCUAUUGUGUUAGUAUGCAAAUUGUUUCACGUAAGUGUGAGAGGGCAUUGCUUCGUAACUCGGAUAUUGAAGUGUUGGAUCGAAUGAAAACUAAAACUUGACCAUCUAGGUGAUCAGGUUUUUCAGGUUUGAAAAGUUAGAACGACAAGAGGAUAGAAAUCGUUGCUCGACAUAUAUAUACACGUUACAUAUCUUACGGAAUAGAUACGGCUUCCUCCAUGAUUAACGUUCGAUGCACAACGAUUCUUCGAUAAACACGUCUCCAAUUAAAGACGAAGAUAUGCGUCUAAUGAUAUUUAGCCAGCAUCCAGUUUGUUUGGUUUGAAAGCACGCUCAUAUUUUUACGCGGAAAAUCAAAGCCGCGAAAUUCUCUCCCAGGUCAGUGACUUCCGGUAUCCGACUGAAAUAUCAUCGAAAGAUUCUCUUCGCCACGAAUGACAGCGUUGCAAUAUUAACUAUACUAAAAGAGGAAGGAGAGAAAAGGAGACUUGUUCCGUAGCAUCCGCGUGGAAUCUCGACGACUCAAAAAACGGAGGAAUCGAAAACUUGGAGGGAGAUAAAUUGGAAGCAGGAGGAUAAAGCUGACUAAAGGGAUAGGUUUUCGCGUGGAUACGCGGUGGAAAAGUGGACGCGGGUUCGGAGAUAACCCGGUUUAAGCUGGAAAUUAAGCUGAACCCUCGGUUGUCUCGGGCGCGGAAUUCGGCUCCGUAGUUAGGUAUGCAAAGCAGGAGAGGAGAGGAGAGAAGCGAGGCAAGGCAGCGGGAAGGUUGGCCGGCCCCAAUCAGAGAAUAUAGCCGGGAGCCAGUUCUAUCCAAAUACACGCGGCGCACGAAUGGCGAGUACACGAAUCGCGCGCGCGCUUGUGCCGGAAGCGGCGGAAGGUGCGGGGCGUUCAUAGUUAGGCCGAAUGAAUGAAUGCAUACGCGGUACCCGGGCAAACUCAAACACCAUCUUUCGAAUUAUAACCGCCGCGCUAUCGGAUUAUCUUUUGAAUUAUUCCGGAUUGUGCCGCGUUCCCCACCGAUUCCAAGUCGGCGCGUAGACGAGGGGGAGGCACGCUCUGUACAGAUUUCCCCGGUUUAGAUGUACAGGCACGAAGGUAUAUACGGAGAGGCCGUGGUGUGGAUGGAUCAGGAAUGCAGGAAUCGAUUUUUGUUACUUCCCUCCACCACGUGUGUCCGUGUUGCGUUGUCUGUGGGCUAGAAUGGAAAGAUGAUAGAAAAACAAGCGGAGCCGGAUCGUUUUUAUUCGAAUCCGAAUAGUGCGGCUCGUGAAUAGUAUUCUGUUAUCGUCGCCGAUGGUAAUCGAGAUUAGAAAACAGGGAAAUGGAACCGGUAACCGGUUCAAUCGAAUUGAUGGAAUGUGAUUUUUGGAUAUUUAAAAUAAGGAAAAAAGAGGUUUUUUCGUUUGGGAAAAUUUUUCAAUCGCUUGAAUCGAACCCUUGACGAAUCACCUCGUCUAGAAGUUGUAUGAAAAGUGGUAAAAAUUUCUCUCUCUCUCUCUUUCUCUUUCUGUCUUCCUUUUUCCGUAUUUUUAUUUUUACGGACGUUGGUAUUUUCGGAACACUCGAGACGAGAAUUUUCAGCUCGAGACGCAAGCGAGCGGAAUCGGCGACGAUGUUAAUGCUCGCGGCCACCGACCGCAUCAGUAUCAAUCUAGUUCUCGACGAGUGAGUACUUAAUCAGUCAAUUAGCAAUGUUCCGCUAAUUGGUUAAUUACCAAGCAAAUUUGUAGCCAGCAAUGGUAUUGCACCAUUGAGGACACGCAUGAUUUAUGUGUGUGCAUCACAAUUAUAUAUAUAUAUAUACAUAUAUGGGGGAGGUGAAAGUUACGCGACGACCUCGCUUGUCCAGGCAUUAAGACACGAAUGUAUUUAUCUCUGUGAUCUACGGUUAUACCAUGGCAUAAUGAACCAGUUUUAGUUAGAUACGCGUGCCAACGAUUCGUGCAGUCACAGUGGCUGAUUCGACACACCAACGGAAAGGAAAAAAAUAUUUCCACGUACCCAUUAUUCAUUCAUGGAUCAUUUUGCGCGAAAUCAAGGAUAUCAGGUGUGACCUCAUAGCAUUGGAUUCGAUUUUUAUUCCCUGCGUCUAUAUAUAGAUGUGGGAGAGGGAAAUUCGAUCGAUGCGACAGAUCACAAUCUUUAACAAAACGAUGGAACGAAAGUGAUCGUGUAACGUUGGAAAUAAAAUUGCAACGUUCUUAGAAUAUAUAUAAAGAAAUAUGUAAAGUGUGAUACGUCCUAAUGAAUAAUGUAUAAAAGUAUGCUUUUCGCUCGAGUAUCAUAUAUAAUGAAGCUUCGAAAAUGGAAACAGGUGACGAAUCUGUUCGCGCGAAUCGUGCGAUAAAAAUAUCUUUCCCUGGAGUAAACUGACACUCAACCGAGAGAAACAUGGUCCCUGUCUCUGAUCCACGAUUCCAAUGAAAACCUUCUCUAAAAUUCGGAUCGAGAUGCGUUUUCCCCGUUGGCUCGCCGCAAAAUUCGCGUUUUCUAUUCUAUUCAUCGUCGUUGAAACACCCAGGCCGGCAGAAUUUCCGUUUCGAAUGGAUGGACGACAGAGAGUAAUCGACGAAUUCGCAACGGAAAGGAAAGGCUUCCAUCUCCUCCCCCCUCUCCCCAUCGAGGUGAAUUAAAACUACGACCGGAAGUGAACACUUACGUCCUAUUAUCCGCGCCGCAAGUUCAGCCACGCGUUAAAUUCUCCUCGUGCUCGUCGUCCAAAUAUACACCUAGUCGAUUCCCGCGUCUUUCAAGUUCAAUGCACCUUGGCGUCGUCGCGACGCCCCUUUCCACGCCGCGUAACGUAAAAUAUUCCCAUCGUGUUAAGAUUUUCAUCCUAUCCAGACUCGUUCCGAGUCUAAUAAACGAGUCGAAACUACCUCCGGUUGGAAGAACAGCUUUCAGGCUGAUUGAAUGAAAUCGAAAAUCGCGAGAUCUUAAAUCUUUAAUCGGCGUAAUUGAGGAUCGAUUACCGGGAUUUAAGGAAGGGUAUUUCAUCGGUAUUCUGAGAGUAAGCGAUUCUGGGUGAGGAAUCUCUGAUUAGGAGGGAAUUAAGAAGCAUAUCGCAAUUGAUUUAAAGAGUUAAACUCGAGGUGAAUUCGAGAAACGUAUAAUGGAGUCGUUGAAAAUGUUUGUCGAUACAUAUUUACCGCGAGUUAUCGUAAACUGUUGAGAGCUGUUCGACAAUGUUUCGUCACUCGAGACGAGGCAGGAUGCGAUGGCAAUGAACGAUCGUUCCAAAACACCAUCGGAAAUCAGGGAAUCGGCCUCGACCGGUAUUGUAAUAUAGCACGCUGACGCCUCUGACUCUUGCAUUAAACAUGAGUUAUGUGUCGGCAUUGUGUUCUAUACAGAGCCGCGCCGCUGUUAAAUUUACAUUAUGUUCAUGUGAACACCAAUUAUUGAACGGCACGGUGUUGGAGUUGAAACAUCGAGCCUUGAAAAGUCUCUUUCUCCUCGUGGCUCAUAUAUUCGACGAAUUUUAUAACCAUUUAUCAUCCACCAUUUAAAGAUUAGAUUAGAAAGGAUAGAAACAAUUGGACUGUUUGCAAAUUGAGAAAAAGUCUAGCUCUAACUUAUCGAAUUUGCUGGAAAUGUAAAAAUUCUUGGGAAAGCGUUCGAACGUCUCGAAUUGAAGCGGAAAAGAAGGUGAAAUAGAGUGUACGGGAUCUUCUUUUAUCCGGUACAUCGUUCGCUUAUCUCGUAUCACGAUUACCUUCAGCUCGACUGAAUAAAUAGAUCAGCGAGUUCUCUCCUCCUCGUUCGUGCGAAUGGACCGAAUAUUUGUAUCCGGUCGACGUGUACAAGUUCGAACGAACAGAUUGCAAUAAUUCUGAACGAUGUCAGGAUGUGUGCUCUAUAAUUCUGCGAACUGGAUCCAUCUCACAUUCUUGUUUCUCGUCUAUAUUUGAAAAUAUAUAGACACGGAUGUGGAAAUGACAUCGAAUUUACUCUUUCGUGGAAUCGUUUGAUCGAAUUGUGUGAGAAAAUUCUUAAAUUCUGCCUUUUAUUAAAUAAUAACGAUGCUGAAUGUAAUCUAGUUAAUUAAAACAUCAACGAGCUUAUAUUAUAAAAAGAAAAAAUUAGUUGUCCACAAUUAUCCUCAACAAGGUUGGCGUCAUCCUCGAAAUCAGCAUGGCUGCUUUCUAUUCACGCAUCUCCUUCGCGCGUGUACGCGACGCGAACAAUUGUUUCUCUAAUUUAUUCAAAUUUUACGUGACACGUAAUAGUGAAAACACGCCGGACUGUAAAGAGGAGUUACUAAUAAUAGUAACAUUAAUAAACGACGGGAAACGAUGAAAGGCGCGAGCAUCCUUGUAUGUAGAAUUUGCCAAGUUGGUAGAGGAUCGGACACGAAUGGUGAUAUGCAGUUGCAAUAAUAAACGAGGGAUUAAUUCAACAAUAGAUAAACUGGUACAUGCAUCACUCGGUGUAUAUAAAAUAAACCGACAAAGAUAAAUGGACAGUCCUGUUAAUACUAAACUUUGCUACGCAACGAACUGAAAUCGUAUUUAUAAUUGACGAACGAACCAUUACUCAUUGGUCGUUCCCGUCGAGUUUGCUCGUACAUAUCCCUGUCUAACCAUUGCUCGCUAUAGCCUGUAUAGAUUAAUAAUGGCGGUCACGUUCGAAGGAAAAGGCGGGAAAAAUUUAAAAAAAAAUCAUUGCCGGUUUAAUAUCUCGAACCGCGUUAAGGAAGUUUAUACUCGAACUCGACGCUGCCACGGCAACAUGUCCCGUCAUAAAAUAUCGCUAAUUGCUCCACCGAUAGCUGGCCGAUUACUAGUUAAUUAAAUCUGUAUUACUUUAGCAACUAGUUUCGGUUCGAUCGACUUUAAUUAAUUAUCGAUUAAUCUUGAAACAUGCGCAUUCGCCUGACUUUCUCUCGUUUACAAGGAUAAUAUCACGGUGAUUUUAUCGUGUAGACGAACAAGAAUAUUACGUAUAAAACAUUACGUUCUUUUUUAUUAUGAUUUCUUUAUAAGAAAAAUUGCAUGUUACAAGUUUUGUAUUUAAUUUUCAUUUCGAUCAAGAAACCUACAAGAGGUAAAGACGAUUCCCGCAUUACCAACGAUAUACAAGUGGCCGAAGUAAUGAAAACCGAAUAAAACCGAGAAUGUCCGAGAUCGGCCGAACGGCCGGCAACUCCGCACGAGGGGACUCUAGCGAACUCCAUAAGCCGGCUUCCGCUUCGUCCGGCGCGAACGUCGGAGCUUGUUCGUCUGUUGCUUUUUUUUUCUUUUUCGUUUUUGAUGGUCAUCCUUUGCCUCCUUUUUGUUGUCAAAAAGUCGUCGAGUACCGGUAAAUUCAUUGCGUGAUCACCAAAUUCGCCGUCUCGUUUCUAUACAGUGGCAAAGUGGAAACAGUGAGUGAGAGAUACACGUGAGAGAGUGUUGGGAUCGAAAAAUGUGACAGCAACGGCUUUCCGACGGCCGUAGGGGGAGAAACGCCGCGAUUUUAGUCGCAAUCGCGCCUGCGCAUUUUCUUUCUCUUUUCCUCUGCAAUACCGUGCGUGUAUAUGUGUGUAGAUGGGAGGUCAUGCGUGAAAAAAGUUCCCAUAGAAUUGUGGGAUUAGUAUCUCGCGAGACGAGUGUUCUUUUGCUGAUUGAGUGUUGUUCAUCCGGAUUUUGUCGGGAUCUUGGAAGGAUACGGUGAGCAGUAACAAGAGAACUACACGGUGAAUCAUACAAACAGCUGUGUGCAACAAGCUGCUGUCUCCUUUGUAAUGAUAUGGUGAAACGAAAGGGAUCUCGAUAGCGUUUCUUUUUUUCAAUGCGACAAGAAGAAUGGAAGACGUACUUCGAGAAAGGAACCAUGAAUAAUGAUAAUUCGCUCAUCGUCGAAUCAUUCGAGAAAGGAUCUUUCCCGAGGAAUAAUAAUAAUAAUAAUAUAUAGCAAGUAUAGUCUGGUUUUGAACAGUGUAAUAAUCGUGUGAUGGUGCGAUGGCCGACGAAAAAAGGGAGCGGGUGAAGGUGAAGUAAGAAGGUGAAUCAGCUGUGAUAAAAGUGCGUUAAGCUAAGUGCAUCCGUGUUGGAGUGUUCUCCCCUCUCGUUAUAUAACGUGACGCUAAAUACCAUGUAAUAGAUAGAGAGAAAUCGGAUAAUACAAAAACUGUUUACAAAAACUUGGUCGAAUAAGAAAUCGAGGAAUAAAAGAAAAGACGGGGGGAAAAAAAAAUAGAGAAGAAAG